rnacentral:lncRNA from 1 species
GGGAGGGUUUUGAAAUGAAUUUGAUUCAUUAACAGCUUCAGAUGUAGUGUAUAAACAGGCAACAACAUUUCAAUUGAAUUUUAUUGCUUUAAAACAUCUAGAACAAUUGAUUCUUUGUGGAUUUUUUUUAUACUUUUAGGGGAUUGAAUGAUUAAAUAUCAAAAUGGAGCUGCCAGUUUUGAUAGUAAAACAGAUUCCGUGGAGAUUUUAGUUACAUUUAUUCAGCGAUUCUACUUGGAAGAACAGAGACAACAAAAUAUUACAGAAAGAAGCAGAAACUUUACAUGUAUCCUUUUAUAUUAUUAUAUCUGACGCAUAGUUACUUUAGUUUUAAUAUUGGGUGGGUACAGGUGCAG